GCGUCGGUGGUUCAGUGGUAGAAUACUCGCCUGCCACGCGGGUGGCCCGGGUUCGAUUCCGGGCCGACGCA
rnacentral:tRNA from 1 species